rnacentral:rRNA from 1 species
CAGUAGCCGCGGUAAUACAGAGGGUGCGAGCGUUAAUCGGAUUUACUGGGCGUAAAGCGUGCGUAGGCGGCUUCUUAAGUCGGAUGUGAAAUCCCUGAGCUUAACUUAGGAAUUGCAUUCGAUACAGGGAAGCUAGAGUAUGGGAGAGGAUGGUAGAAUUCCAGGUGUAGCGGUGAAAUGCGUAGAGAUCUGGAGGAAUACCGAUGGCGAAGGCAGCCAUCUGGCCUAAUACUGACGCUGAGGUACGAAAGCAUGGGGAGCAAACAGGAUUAGAUACCCCUGUAGUCCCUGUCUCUUAUAA